UCUUUAUCUUUAUAUAACAGAUGUUGCAUGCGGUGAGCAUGUUAUUCUGUGGGUUGUUUUCAAAAUAUUACAACAAGCUCAAUCAAAGAUACAAUUUCUUGGAGUUGUUGGUCAAGCUGUAUGCACCGUAUGCAUUCUUUAAAGGACGCUUUGACGACACGAACUUUACAAAUCUGAGAAUGCAACUGAAGACAGAGAAUGGCGACGACGACAUAUUUAACUGUGAUCCCAAGAAUAUCAGUUGGCCCAAGUAUUUCUUACAUGUCCACGUACCAGCUGUUAUAAAUGAUGCCAACACAAACAAGAAACGAAGUGAGUAGACAAGAUGGGCCUCUGCGAAAAGGACCUCUACAUAAAGAGCAAUAAAUGGGUGCACGUUCCUUGAUAAACUAUUAUUGACAAGAAUAAUAUACCUUAUAUGUUCAUGGUGUGCAAUGUAAAAGUCAAUGUAUGUAUCUGUUAUGUAAUCUCUUAUACAUUACAAUAUAUUAUAUUACUAUACUAUACUAACUUGAACGGCGGACGUGCAUAGUAGACAUGAUGAAGACUUAAUAAAGUUAUUUGUAUAA